rnacentral:tRNA from 1 species
GCCUCUGUAGCUUAGUUGGUUAGAGCGAUGCAUCGGAACCGCAGGGUCGCAGGUUCGAUUCCUGCAAGAGGCC